rnacentral:lncRNA from 1 species
AAGGCUCUCUAUUAGCCAUACAAAUAUCUGGUCUCUACAAGUAUCCACUCAGGAUCAGCCUGGAACAGCCCUCUAAGAUCUGAAUUUUGAUUCUCUAAAAUUCAGUCUGCUAAAUCUGAACGAAGCCUGAAUCACGACCAACACUUGAUCUUUCUUUUUUUCUCUUCUUCUCUGGAGUUUUUUCUUACUAUGUGCUGCUACU